rnacentral:rRNA from 1 species
AUUGAACGCUGGCGGCAUGCCUUACACAUGCAAGUCGAACGGCAGCACGGGGGCAACCCUGGUGGCGAGUGGCGAACGGGUGAGUAAUACAUCGGAACGUGCCCUGAAGUGGGGGAUAACGUAGCGAAAGUUACGCUAAUACCGCAUAUUCUGUGAGCAGGAAAGCAGGGGAUCGCAAGACCUUGUGCUUUAGGAGCGGCCGAUGUCGGAUUAGCUAGUUGGUGAGGUAAAGGCUCACCAAGGCGACGAUCCGUAGCGGGUCUGAGAGGAUGAUCCGCCACACUGGGACUGAGACACGGCCCAGACUCCUACGGGAGGCAGCAGUGGGGAAUUUUGGACAAUGGGCGCAAGCCUGAUCCAGCCAUGCCGCGUGAGUGAAGAAGGCCUCG